CAAUAGCGUAUAUUAAAGUUGUUGCGGUAAAAAAGCUCGUAGUUGGAUUUCUGGAUGGAGCGACCGGUCGGGCAUUAAUUUGUCUGCACUGGAGUCGGUUCCGUCCAUCCUCUUGGAAAGUGCGUGGGGCAUUAAGUUGUCUGGCGUAUGAUCCAAGUCGUUUACUGUGAAAAAAUUAGAGUGUUUAAAGCAGGCCUUCGCCUUGAAUACAUUAGCAUGGAAUAAUAAGAUAGGACUUUGGUCUAUUUUGUUGGUUUGCAGACCGAAGUAAUGAUUAAUAGGGAUAGUUGGGGGCAUUCGUAUUCAAUUGUCAGAGGUGAAAUUCUUGGAUUUAUGGAAGACGAACUACUGCGAAAGCAUUUACCAAGGAUGUUUUCAUUAA
rnacentral:rRNA from 1 species